UCCAUCAUUACUUUAAGACAUGAAGGUCAGUCAAUACAACAGUCCAUCAUUACUUUAUGACAUGAAGGUCAGUCAAUACAACAGUCCAUCAUUACUUUAAGACAUGAAGGUCAGUCAAUACAACAGUCCAUCAUUACUUUAUGACAUGAAGGUCAGUCAAUACAACAGUCCAUCAUUACUUUAAGACAUGAAGGUCAGUCAAUACAACAGUCCAUCAUUACUUUAAGACAUGAAGGUCAGUCAAUACAACAGUCCAUCAUUACUUUAUGACAUGAAGGUCAGUCAAUACAACAGUCCAUCAUUACUUUAAGACAUGAAGGUCAGUCAAUACAACAGUCCAUCAUUACUUUAAGACAUGAAGGUCAGUCAAUACAACAGUCCAUCAUUACUUUAAGACAUGAAGGUCAGUCCAUCAUUACUUUAAGACAUGAAGGUCAGUCCAUCAUUACUUUAAGACAUGAAGGUCAGUCAAUACAACAGUCCAUCAUUACUUUAAGACAUGAAGGUCAGUCCAUCAUUACUUUAAGACAUGAAGGUCAGUCCAUCAUUACUUUAAGACAUGAAGGUCAGUCAAUACAACAGUCCAUCAUUACUUGUAAGACAUGAAGGUCAGUCAAUACAACAGUCCAUCAUUACUUGUAAGACAUGAAGGUCAGUCAAUCUGGAAAAUGCCAAGAACUCUGAACGUUUCUUCAAGUGCAGUCGCAAAAACCGUCAAGCGCUAUGAUGAAACUGGCUCUCAUGAGGACCGCCACAGGAAAGGAAGACCCAGAGUUCCCUCUGCUGCAGAGGAUAAGUUCAUUAGAGUUAACUGUCUCUCAUUAGGACCGCCACAGGAAAGGAAGACACAGAGUUACCUCUGCUGCAGAGGAUAAC